rnacentral:ncRNA from 1 species
AAUAGGCUUGGUCCUGGCCUUUCUAUUAGCUCUUAGCAGGAUUACACAUGCAAGCAUCCCCGCUCCAGUGAAGACGCCCUACAAAUCAUCAUGACCAAGAGGAGCAAGCAUCAAGCACGCACACGCAGCUCAAAACGCUUUGCCUAGCCACACCCCCACGGGAGACAGCAGUGACAAGUAUUUAGCAAUAAACGAAAGUUCAACUAAGCCAUGCUAUAUUUAGGGUUGGUCAAUUUCGUGCCAGCCACCGCGGUUACACGAUUAACCCCAGCUAAUAGGGAUCGGCGUAGAGGGUGUUUAAGAUCUAACAUAAUAAAGCUAAACUCCACCUAAACUGUAAAACCCUAGCUAAUGUAAAAUAAACUACGAAAGUGGCUUUAAAGCUUCUGAACACACAAUAGCCAAGACCCAAACUGGGAUUAGACACCCCACUAUGCUUGGCCCUAAACCUCAGUAGUUAGAUAACAAAACUACUCGCCAGAAUACUACAAGCAACAGCUUGAAACUCAAAGGACUUGACGGUGCUUUACAUCCCCCUAGAGGAGCCUGUUCCGUAAUCGAUAAACCCCGAUCCACCCUACCCUCUCUUGCUCAGCCUAUAUACCGCCAUCUUCAGCAAACCCUAAUGAGGGCCACAAAGUGAGCGCAAACGCCGCCGCCGCGAGUACGUUAGGUCAAGGUGUAGCCCAUGAGACGGUAAAAAAUGGGCUACAUUUUCUAUUUCAGAAAACCCACGAAAACCCUUAUGAAACUUAAGGGUCCAAGGAGGAUUUAGCAGUAAAUUAAGAAUAGAGUGCUUAAUUGAACCAGGCCAUAAAGCGCGCACACACCGCCCGUCACUCCUCUCAAAUAUAUUUAAGGAAUAUCCUAACUAAAUGCCCUAAUAUUUAUAUAGAGAGGAUAAGUCGUAACAUGGUAAGCGUACUGGAAGGUGCGCUUGGAUAAAU